rnacentral:rRNA from 1 species
GUUUUUAAAAAUCAGAUUGUUCCAUCUGAUCUUGUUUGAUCUUGGAAGCUAAGCAGGGUCGGGCCUGGUAAGUACUUGGAUGGGAGACUGCCUGGCAAUACCAGGUGCUGUAGGCU